AGCUGCUCCAGCCAACUCAUCACACUCCACACAUGAAGCACCCUCUUGCCUCCGUGCCUUUGCUCUGUUUCCUCUUGCUUUGGCUGCUCUCACAGUUGACUAUGUCCUAUCCUCCCUACUGGAUUAUGAGGUGCCUGAGGUCAGAGUCAAAGCAUGGUCACAUCUAUUUGCCCAGUACCUACCAAGGCCCUGGACCAUGAUGGCCAGAAGAUAUACAGGCAGGAGGAAUAAAGACACAGAUGGUAUAUUUGCACUCACAACACUGCCUACCUGGUAACCGUAACUUUGCAGCAAUCCUGUGACUUUAGGAAGAGGUGGUCAUUCCGUACACUUCAAGUACGGCUUAUAAAGGUUUUUCCCAAGGUCACACAGAGAGGCGCCCAAAGCAGAUAUUUCAAUAUAUUCCAAUUUAGCCAAGGGAAGCCAGAACAUGGAUGCUGUUGCCAAGGAAACCACCUCCUUCCUCCCCGUGUGCUGUGCAUACGUGUAUCACUUCAUCUCUCCACUCUCCAAGUUGCUCCACCAUGCCUGGCACACAGCUUGCUUCCUCGACAAGACAUAGGCUUUUGUAGUUUAACUGCAUGGUUGCUGAUCACGACAGGUGGACAGUUAGCAGACCAUGAAAAGAACAACCCUGAGAUGUCACAGAAGGUCCAGGACUCUGUCAUCUUCUGAAGCCCCAGUCCCUGACCUGCCUCUCCUAAAUGACAUCUAGGACAGCAAACAGAAUAAUCCUCCAGCUUCACCCUCUGCUUCCUUUCAGCAUGUUGGCCUGAUGAUGCAAACACAGCAGGAGUUUCUGGCUCUGCCUCUUGUGGCCAUUUGCUCGUCCCCAUGGAGCUCAGCCAUGCCUGAAGAGCCACAGAUCUUUCUUCUGCGUCACCUGGGAGAGCUGGCUGCUGGAGGGCAAUGAAUGCUUGGCCUGGGCAUUUUGAGGGUUUCCACAAGUGGGAGGAAGAUGACAAUGACUGUGGAAGGAGAGGUUGUCAUGGAAAUGCACCUUGUCCAGGUUGUUGCAACCUGGCCUCUGGGCUGGCUCCACCUGGAUGCGCCUUACACGGGGUCUUGCCUUACCAUUUGUUCAGGGAGGCGAUGGACAGAGAUAGAUGCUUCUUACCCACCAGUCUGCUGCUGCAUCUUUUUCUGUCUGAUGUGAUGAGCAGCUCAGGCUUCUCCUGUCUCCCAGCUUCUGUGAACAUCACAUGAGGUGAUGGGCGCCAAAUGAUGCUGGUGGCAGCUGUUGACUGGGUGGCUCCCUGUCCGACAGCAGAGUGGGCUGGGGGGAAGGGGACUGAUGGUUGGGGAACAUCUUCUCUGUGGCUGGACUGAGAGGCUUAUGUGUGCUGUCUCGUUGAACCUCCCAGUAGUGCUGAAGAAGCUGGAGCGUAUUGUCACCUGCUCAGAGUCCCACACCAGGGGAUGACAGUGCCUGAGCUGGUAGCCAUGCUCCGUCUGCCUUUAAAGCCCAGCCAUGUCUCCCCAUGCAUAAUUGCUCCUGGCCAGUUGGGGAACCUCAGCAAUGGCCAAGAAAUGCCAACACGAGCUCCUACUUAGGUGGCCACAUUGGCAGAGGGACUUGGCCAGCUGGAAGGCACCUACAUUGCCUCUGUCCAAGUGGGCUGGCGUGGGCCCGGGUCAUCAACUACAGGGUGGUGGGAUUCCAGUGCUCUGGGGCCUGCCGGCUGCCUCCAUGACCACCAGGCACCUCCUGGGAGGCCAGUGAUGGGAAAGAGCCCACAGCCCUGCAUGGGCAGUUCUUUCUGCUCUUGUCUUUUCCUCCUCCACCCACCUGCUAAUCUCGCUUGCACAUGAAAGUCUCCCCCCACAAUCUCCACUCCCCUCCCCGAUCCCUUCCCUGCGUUUGUACUUUAUGAUGCGGGACUUGGAGAGAAGACUCAUUAGAGUCAUUAUUACAUGCACAGAAAUAUGUCUUUCAUCUCAUUCACAUUUCAUGUUCCUCCCACUUGAUCUCUUGACGCUUUUUAAUUCCUGAUAUUACAUCACACACACACACACACACACACACACAGUUCUUGUUGGGGUUCAUUCUUUCUACAGAGUUGUCAUCAUUGCUUGCUGUCUGAGGAGUGCUCCUUGUUGUAUAUUUAUUCAUUUCUGAAAAAGAUUUGGGGAUUGACAUUGCCUGAUGCUCCUGACUUUGAUUGUAGGGGUAGGUAGCAUUGUAAUUAGAGGAGAUGUGAGGACAGAGGACCAAAGUCUAGAGCCUUGUCCCCUGUCCCCUUCCUCCCUAGAGGCCAGAUGUCCAUCUGUGAAACAGGCAGAUCCCAUCGCCUAGUUCAAUCCCCACAUCUGGCGUCAAAUGGGCUUUUUGGGGUGUAAGCACUGUUUAACUUAUGGUAAAAGGGAUAUUGGGAGGAGUCGGGGCCAUCCAUAGAACCACAGAAAAGGUUGAAAAAUCAACUCUGAUGGGCAGAGCAGGGUAGCCCGGGAACCUGGGAACUGGGUUCCCUGCUGCCUCUUUAGGCUCCAUGAUGAGGAUGAAAGGAGAUCUAAAGGCUGUCAGUUCCUCCCUUCUCAGCUCAAGGUCCCAAUGCAGGGAGAGAGUAUGGGAUCGGCUCAGCUACCAAGAUAAGAAGGAAGUGUGUUUUGACUGACAGUUUCAUUAAGAUUCCAUCUAAUCAGGGCAAGGGGUUCCCCAAAGUAAGAGGUUGUUUCCAGAAGGAGGCAGUGGAUUCUGAGUAUGUAGAACAACAGACACCAUGACACAGUCCCAACAGUGGAGGUGGUAUGACUGCUGUGCGAAGAGAGGAAGAAGCAGGUCUUUCUGGCUCUAAAUCUGUGACCAAGAGAUAUAUUUUUGGAACUCAGAGAUUGCCUUCUAAUUCGGAACUCAGGGGCUGGCAAACUUUCCCCGGAAAGGGCUAGGUAGUAACUAUUUUGGCUUUCUGGGCCAUAUGGUUUCUGCCACAAGGACUCAACUCUGCCAAGACCUGAAAGCAGCCGUAGGCAAUAUGUAAAUGAGGUGGUUUUGGCCCUGUUUCAAUAAAGUUUUAUUGAAAAAAACCCCAAGUAGCAUGUCCUGGACAUUCAGGUCAAAGUUGUUCUAGUAAGUCACCUUCAUGUCAUGGAGAAUCUCCCUCUCUGCUUUAGUAACCCUUGUAUUUCUGAUUGCGGUUCUUCAACUCGGCUCUGCUUCAGGACACUCAAGGGAGCCUGUCGUGAGCUCAUGAGCACAGAUGCCCAGGACCUGUUCAGACUUCCAGGGGAAGACAACAGACUCGAUGGCUUAGCUAAAGCAAGCCUGGUACUUCCCUCAAGCAGCUUGUGGAUUGCAGAUUCCUGCCAGGCCCUCCAGAACCAGCCCAAGGUCUCUUCCCCCAGAUCUGUCUGCUCUCAGCAUUUUCUCCAAAAAGAGCCACGGGGAGGCUAUGCAAGUCAGGAGUAGAACCUGGGAGUCCUUCCAUCAGGAGCUGCAUGUCCCGUGCCUGCCGUGUUCCACACUCAGUGCCAGGGCUGGAGACACCCUCCCUGAGAUGACCCCAGCCCCGCUUUCCAGGAGCUGGGCGUCCAGGCUGGCAGGUGAGAAGCAUCCUGCCAGGCAAGGCUACCCCAGGCUUUGCCCUCAACUUCUGGAUUGUUGCACCUCUGUGUGAAUAUGCUCCCGUCCCACCUGACAUGGUGUGAUUUGGGUACCGUCCAACUUAAGAUGAAAAGAAGCCAGCCACGUGGCAAGCCGCCCUGCCGCCUCUGCUGGGGUGCCCCUCCUGCCGGCCAGGAUCUCACUCUCCCUUCUGAGUGGGGCUGUGAAGUGUCUAAUCCAGGCUUUUAUCUGGCAUCCACAAUUAUAAUGUCAAGAUUGAAUAAUCUGCCUUUAUCUUCUGGGUGACAGCCAUGUAGAAACUUCAAAAGAAACAGUAAUGCUGGCAUCUAACGGCUUUUGUUAAUUACUAUAUCCCAAAGAAAAUGAAAUAAAG
ensembl:lncRNA